AGGGUUUGGGGAUCCAUGGCUCAGGAUGAACGCUAGCGGCAGGCCUAAUACAUGCAAGUCGAGGGGCAGCAGUCCCGAUUUAUCGGGAGCUGGCGACCGGCGCACGGGUGCGUAACGCGUAUGCAAUCUACCCACAGCACAGGGAUAGCCCGUGGAAACAUGGAUUAAUACCUGAUAACACAAUGGACUCACCUGGGACUAUUGUUAAAGUUACAGCGGCAGUGGAUGAGCAUGCGUCCCAUUAGCUAGUUGGUGAGGUAACAGCUCACCAAGGCGAUGAUGGGUAGGGGUUCUGAGAGGAUGAUCCCCCACACUGGUACUGGGAUACGGACCAGACUCCUACGGGAGGCAGCAGUAGGGAAUAUUGGUCAAUGGACGCAAGUCUGAACCAGCCAUGCCGCGUGCAGGAAGACGGCCUUCUGGGUUGUAAACUGCUUUUCUCAGGGAAGAAAAAUGCUUUUGCGAGAGCACUUGCCGGUACCUGAGGAAUAAGCACCGGCUAACUCCGUGCCAGCAGCCGCGGUAAUACGGAGGGUGCUAAGCGUUGUCCGGAUUUAUUGGGUUUUAAAGGGCGCGUAAGGCGG
rnacentral:rRNA from 1 species